rnacentral:rRNA from 1 species
AUAAUCAUUUGCCUUAUAAUUGAAGGCUAGUAUGAAUGGUUUGACGAGAGCAACACUGUCUCCUUCUUAUUUUCAAGAAUUUAACUUUUAGGUGAAGAGGCCUAAAUUUUAUUGAAGGACAAGAAGACCCUGUCGAGCUUAAAAGAUAUUAUAGAAUCUAUAUAUAUGUUUAAAUAAAUUUCUAUUAGGCUUUUUAGUUGGGGCGACUAAGGAACAAAAAAAGCUUCUUAUUAAUAAUAAACAAUCGCGUUUAGAUCCGAUAAUAAUCGAUCAAAGAAAUUAGUUACCGCAGGGAUAACAGCAUAAUCUUUCUUGAGAGACCUAAUCGAAAGAAGGGGUUGUGACCUCGAUGUUGGACUAGAAUAUCCUAAAGAUGCAGAAGUCUUUAAAGGUCGGUCUGUUCGACCGUUAAAAUUCU